UUUGCUUUAUUUGACAGAGAGGCUUGCAUUUCCAGGUACAGGGAGCAUCAUGCAUCAAGAAGCCAUCAGGGCCGUGUAGGAUAGCACAGUUCUCCCCUGGAGCGCCGACUGGCUCCCGGAUGCUGUUGAAAAGGCGUUCCUCUCGGCAUGUCUUCCCCAGUCACCCAUUUCCACUCCCCUUCUACUGCGAUGUCGCUUCCGCCCGCCCACACAUUUGCGGAGCUCGAAAGGCCUGGGAGCAGAGAAUCAGUGCGCCGUCAGUCUCCAGCACGGGGAUUAGCGAAGCAGUUUUAUUUAUCUCCGUUUCCUAUUUUGAAAUUGCAUAUUUUUAUGAUGUAUUUGUAUGUAUCUGUAGUAAAGUGUGACAGAAAUGUACUGGAUUGUACGUUGUGCCCGUCCACUUGGAGUAACACCAGGGGUUUGAAACUGAUAAAAUUGUUAAACUGUAAAUAUAGCUUUUGUUAUCUUAUGUAUGA